AAUAGAUACCCUGGUAGUCCACGCCGUAAACGAUGAGUGCUAAGUGUUGGGGGUUUCCGCCCCUCAGUGCUGCAGCUAACGCAUUAAGCACUCCGCCUGGGGAGUACGGUCGCAAGACUGAAACUCAAAGGAAUUGACGGGGGCCCGCACAAGCGGUGGAGCAUGUGGUUUAAUUCGAAGCAACGCGAAGAACCUUACCAGGUCUUGACAUCCCGGUGACCACUAUGGAGACAUAGUUUCCCCUUCGGGGGCAACGGUGACAGGUGGUGCAUGGUUGUCGUCAGCUCGUGUCGUGAGAUGUUGGGUUAAGUCCCGCAACGAGCGCAACCCUUAUUCUUAGUUGCCAUCAUUCAGUUGGGCACUCUAAGGAGCUGCCGGUGAUAAACCGGAGGAAGGUGGGGAUGACGUCAAAUCAUCAUGCCCCUUAUGACCUGGGCUACACACGUGCUACAAUGGACGGUACAAACGGUUGCCAACCCGCGAGGGGAGCUAAUCCGAUAAAACCGUUCUCAGUUCGGAUUGUAGGCUGCAACUCGCCUAC
rnacentral:rRNA from 1 species